UACGAAGGGGGCUAGCGUUGUUCGGAAUUACUGGGCGUAAAGCGCGCGUAGGCGGUUAUGUAAGUCAGGGGUGAAAUCCCGGGGCUCAACCCUGGAACUGCCUUUGAGACUGCAUAGCUUGAGAACGGAAGAGGUGAGUGGAAUUCCCAGUGUAGAGGUGAAAUUCGUAGAUAUUGGGAAGAACACCGGUGGCGAAGGCGGCUCACUGGUCCGUUUCUGACGCUGAGGCGCGAAAGCGUGGGGAG
rnacentral:rRNA from 1 species